GAUGAACGCUGGCGGCGUUCCUAAUACAUGCAAGUCGAUCGAACAGACGAUUAGCUUGCUCCUCUUACGUUAGCGGCUUACGGGUGAGUAACACGUUGAUAACCUACCUAUAAGACUGGGAUAACUUCGGGAAACCGGAUCUAAUACCGGAUAAUAUAUUGAACCGCAUGGUUCAAUAGUUAAAGACGGUUUUUCUUUCACUUAUAGAUGUAUCCGCGCCGCAUUAGCUAGUUGGUAAGGUAACGGCUUACCAAGGCAACGAUGCGUAGCCGACCUGAGAGGGUGAUCGGACACACUGGAAAUGAGACACGGUCAAGACUACUACGGGAGGCAGCAGUAGGGAAUCUUCCGCAAUGGGCGAAAGCCUGACGGAGCAACGCCGCGUGAGUGAUGAAGGUCUUCGGAUCGUAAAACUCUGUUAUUAGGGAAGAACAAAUGUGUAAGUAACUAUGCACGUAUUGAAGGUACAUAAUCAGAAAGCCACGGCUAACUACGUG
rnacentral:rRNA from 1 species